rnacentral:rRNA from 1 species
AUUGAACGCUGGCGGCAGGCCUAACACAUGCAAGUCGAACGAGUGGCGGACGGGUGAGUAAUGUCUGGGAAACUGCCCGAUGGAGGGGGAUAACAAAUGGAAACGGUAGCUAAUACCGCAUACCAUCGGAUGUGCCCAGAUGGGCUUAGCUAGUAGGUGGGGUACCGGCUCACCUAGGCGACGAUCCCUAGCUGGUCUGAGAGGAUGACCAGCCAAACUGUAACUGAGACACGGUCCAUACUCCUACGGGAGGCAGCAGUGGGGAAUAUUGCACAAUGGGCGCAAGCCUGAUGCAGCCAUGCCGCGUGUAUGAAGAAGGCCUGCGGGUUGUAAAGUACUUUCAGCGAGGAGGCGUUACUCGCAGAAGAAGCACCGGCUAACUCCGUGCCAGCAGCCGCGGUAAUUC